UGUCCAUGAAACAUUAAUCCAGUUAUAGUUGAUUUUCUCUCUUCAGGGGUGACUUUGAAUUCUGAUUGGAGAAAUACUUUUUCCCAGCUGGUUUUCAUUUUAACUUUCUUGUUCCUUGACUUAGAUAAAAACUUCUGCCCUAAAAUGAUUUUCUGUGUUUUAAAAUGUCUUUGUGUUCAGUUUCACACACCAAAGUCCUUCCUGCUGGGCUGAGAAGCUGGCUUUGCUGUCUGUAACUAGUAACACCCAACCUGAUUUCUCAAGAUGGCCCUGGGAGCAGCUCUGCCAGGAGUCACGGCCUCUCCAGGGUGAUGGUGUUGGAGGAUGUCCUGUGGGCGACAGUGCCCCCACCCGAACUUCCAGCCCAUGUGGAAGGUGCUGCCAGGCAGAAAGCAAAAAGCGAACAACAUCCUGUGGAAUGAAUGAAAGAACUGACCGGAUCUUCCCAUGUCCCUUGGCAGCACCUGGUUUGAGCCAUGUGGAAGAAUUCUUCUGUGGCCAACACAAGACAGAAAGAAACAGCGGAAGCCUGCAGACUGUGACCAAGCGAGGGCUGCACCUCAGACAGAGACCGGGUCACGAGGGGACUAAGUAGCACAAGCAGCAGUGUCCCCAGCAAUGCUUUCUUCAUCCAAAGGGAUGCUGCCCAGCACAGACGCUACAAACUCAAGAUGCGUUGUUGAGUGCAUUAAUGAUUAAAACUAAUGAUCCAAGCAUAAAUCCCUCUACAUAUAAGAUAGAUCACUAUACUUUAAAUGAAAUACCAAUACAUGGUAGUGCCUCUACGUAGGAAGUCUUACCUGUUCUUUAGCCUUCAUCUGUGAAUAUUUCUAAUAGAAAUAUCCUUGAUUAGCCGUGCUUGUUUGGUAUUUCUGGCCUGCAUUCGAAGAGGUGGAUUUUGUCUCAGAUCUUCAACAUCCUAUAAAUGUGUCGAGCAUGGUGGGAAGCCUGUCCCCAUAUGCACAAUGCCUGUGAAAGCUUGGUGUUCGAUGGCAGCACUGCCGGCGGAGGGGCAAUGUGUCCAGGCUGUCCACCCAGCUUUUCCUGCUCCUGGCUGUUUCCCUUGUUCAGGUAAUGUCUGACCUCCAGGACAAAGCAAGGUUUAGGAUGCUUCCUCAUGUGCUCAGUGUUUUAAUUUUUCUCUGAUAACAUGGACUAUGGAGAUGACCUUCUAGUUUUAGAUCAAGACCUCUUGGUUAGAAACCCCAAAGAACUAAAUUCUUA
rnacentral:lncRNA from 1 species